rnacentral:rRNA from 1 species
GACGAACGCUGGCGGCGUGCCUAAUACAUGCAAGUCGAACGAAGUUGUUUUAACUGGUGCUUGCACCGACUUAAACAACUGAGUGGCGAACGGGUGAGUAACACGUGGGUAACCUGCCCCAAAGCGGGGGAUAACGAUUUGGAAACAGAUGCUAAUACCGCAUAACCACAGAAACCUCAUGGUUUCUGUGUCAAAGAUGGUUUCGGCUAUCACUUUGGGAUGGACCCGCGGCCGUAUUAGCUAGUUGG